rnacentral:rRNA from 1 species
GAUGAACGCUGGCGGCGUGCCUAAUACAUGCAAGUCGAGCGAACAGACGAGGAGCUUGCUCCUUUGACGUUAGCGGCGGACGGGUGAGUAACACGUAGGUAACCUACCUAUAAGACUGGGAUAACUUCGGGAAACCGGAGCUAAUACCGGAUAAUAUUUCGAACCGCAUGGUUCGAUAGUGAAAGAUGGCUUUGCUAUCACUUAUAGAUGGACCUGCGCCGUAUUAGCUAGUUGGUAAGGUAACGGCUUACCAAGGCAACGAUACGUAGCCGACCUGAGAGGGUGAUCGGCCACACUGGAAGUGAGACGCGGUCCAGACUCCUACGGGAGGCAGCAGUAGGGAAUCGUACGCAAUGGGCGAAAGCAUGACGGAGCAACGCCGCGUGAGUGAUGAAGGUCUUCGGAUCGUAAAACUCUGUUAUUGGGGAAGAACAAACGUGUAAGUAACUGUGCACGUCGUGACGGUACCUAAUAAGAAAGCCACGGCUAACUACGUG